rnacentral:lncRNA from 1 species
GGAUCCCAGGAAAUUUAUUCGAACCUAAUUCUUACUAAAUUUUCUAUUCCAAUCAAUGGCCUCUUCCUAGGUGAUACUGAGGAGGGCCGGACCCGUUUUUUAUUUGGUUCUCUCUUUACUGUUCAAAGAAAAAGUGGUUUUGUUAAGUGUAUACGCACUUUGUAUGAGAAAGAAAGGAUAUAAACAUAGUGGUUGUCUAACGAGAUACUAUUUAGAAUAAGAUCGUCAGGUGAGUCACAUAUUGCGCAUUUACCUUUCGAAUUUUGGAAAUUGGAUUUAGACUUUAUCGACUUAUUUCAUAUCAUGGUUCAGGCCUUAAAAAUCAGUGAGGUUUACUCUUCCUUUUCGAUGCCCGUGGAACUACUGUCAAUGGUUUACUUCUUAGGAAUGUUAAAAAAAAAAAGAUUACUACGUGAUUUUUUGAAUAUGCCUAUAUCUAUCGCUUUUGCUUCAUUGAUUUGAUUCUCUCAAUAGAUACUGAGAUUCAUAUUGGAAAUCAAAAAUAUAGUAAUUCAAACUAUAAGACAUAGGAGUAAUUCAGAUUGAUCAGAACAAAUAGAUAUAGCAAAUAAAUGGAAUUGGAUGCUAUGUCAAUCCCAUAUAUGGAAUUGAUAUUCACAUAUAUCAAGAUAAUAUUGUAGAUUGAUAUAUAGAUCCAUAUCAAAUGCAGCCUCUAUCUUUAUUUUAUUCCAGGGGGCAGCUUUAUAACAAGAAUCUAACUAAUAAAUAGUAUGGUAGAAAGAAAUAGAUGAAUCUUUCUACCAUACUAUCUAUCUAUUAGAAUACUGCCGAUUCUAGUCCACUCAUUUCAUUUAAGACAUGAAAUUGGAAUCUUUUUCAUUUUAUUUCGUCAAUUUUGGCUAAGAACUCAGAAGUCAAGUUUCAUUCAAAUUAGUUAAUAAUUAAUCGUUUUGACUGACUGUUUUUACAUAAAUGAUAAGUAGAAAAGCGGUAGGAACUAGAAUAAAUAGUGCAGUAGCAAUAAAUGCAAGAAUAUUUACUUCCAUAAUCUCAUCGGUUUUUUACUUCGCAAUAACUCGGGAUUUAAUCCCAUAGAGAUGAUAAAUCUUUGGCCUGUAAAUUCAAUGAAUGAAUAUUACCUCUCGAUGAUCUUGAAUCAGAUCAAUAUCAUGAAUAACAAUAUCUGAACUAUCAAAUAAAUUCGUCGUCGAGAAUUGAAUAGUAUAACAUAGGAAGUUCUUUUAUCCAUACCGCCCCAAACUCGGAUUGCUGACCUAACCCAAAAUUCCUUUAUUUAUUUAUCAUUUUUUAUUAUCUGUUCUUUUUUUCUCUCUAAUCUAUCUAGUUCCUUCUUGUACAAUCAUCUGAUGAAGUCUCAUCAAAUAGCUCUUCCACUUCCAGUGGUCACAUAGUUACAAACCCAAACAAACAAUAAAAGCUAAAUGGAAAAAGAAAGGAGUUUAGAACGAAACUAUUUUUGACUUGGAAGACAAAGAAGUGUGAUAAAGAUGAGACCGUAUAAAAUGAAUAUUCAUCAAAUUGACUAUUUUCCGAUUUGUUCGUUCGUCGAUGGGGCCUUAAAACAAAAUGAAAAAUAGGAAAAAUGAUUCAUUCGCCUUUCUAAGAGGAGUAGGAUCUUUGGUUGAUCUGUCCUUCCCCCUCCUUUCUUCGUCGAUUAUUAGCCCCGGGACACCUAUACCAAAAGCUCAGUGUGCAAUUUGCAUGAAAUCUAUUUUGCAACUUCAAACUAGUAAGUCAGGUUCCAUAAAUCCGUAGCCAGAAAAAGAAAUUGUUUUUUUUUUUUUUUGUUUUUUCUGGAAAGUAUUUUCUUAUAUUCAAUUUUGUAUUGGACAACAAAGGAAUUCCUUUUGUGUAUGCGCGCCUCAAAAAAGUAUAGUACUCGAUUCCAUUACAUGCAUCGGGGGCAAUCGAAAAAGCCAGCAUUUCUUGGAAUACUGACUAUAAUGCUACCAAUAAUUGUACUAAUCCAACCGCAUAUGUCUUUCUCCUACCAAAAGGAAAGAAAAAAGAAAUAAGGAUUUCCCCUUUGCUUUGACAAUGGAAUUCUUCCCCCGGUCCCCUUCAGAAAAAGGGAGAGAUUUUUUGAUAUAUUUAUUGGAUCCGUCGGGACUGACGGGGCUCGAACCCGCAGCUUCCGCCUUGACAGGGCGGUGCUCUGACCAAUUGAACUACAAUCCCAGGGAAAUACGGGAUCUAGCAGAAAAUUUGAUUCUUUUUUAUCUCCGGAUCGGGUAUUUCUGAAGUACAAAGGGAGUUAUAUCAUCUCAUGGCGGAUUGGCGAAUUAUUGGGCCGAGCUGGAUUUGAACCAGCGUAGACAUAUUGCCAACGAAUUUACAGUCCGUCCCCAUUAACCGCUCGGGCAUCGACCCAGGAAGAAUCAAUUUUCAACUUAUUGGUAAUCCAUGAUCAAUUUCCUUUCGUAGUACCCUACCCCCAGGGGAAUUCGAAUCCCCGCUGCCUCCUUGAAAGAGAGAUGUCCUAAACCACUAGACGAUGGGGGCCCGCUUGACCAACGGCCA